rnacentral:rRNA from 1 species
UUGGAGAGAGAGUUCAAGAGUACGUGAAACUGCUCAGAGGUAAACGGGUGGGCAUUCGAGAGAUCCUCUUGCGGAGAGAUUCAGUCCGGAGCGGCAGGGGCGGACGCGAGCGACGGAUCCUGGAACGAGGACGGUUCUCGCGACGCAGUCUCUGCCGUGCCGGACGCAUUUCUCUCCGCACUCUGGACGCCGCGACGGAUCGGGUAGCUGCGAGAGUCGGCCUUGCGACGGUUCCAGGCAGGUGAUCGGGCGACGGUUAUCGAUCCUGCGCCCGGUUAUUCACGGGACCGUUCGUGGCGCGACACCCGAUCGAGGUCUGAGUUUCCCGUGCGGGAAAUCGUCCGACUCCGUCUCCUUGACGCGGUGACUGGGCCAGUGAGCGCCGGCGAUGCCGAACCACUYGUCGUAGUGACCCGGCGCGACGGUGGCCGCCGUUGGGCUUCGGUCGACCGCUGGAGAAUCGGUGACGGUCGGCGGCGAUUGAUCGGUAACCCACCCGACCCGUCUUGAAACACGGACCAAGGAGUCUAACAUGUGCGCGAGUCGCAGGGUCUUGGACAGGCCCUCGGGCGCAAUGAAAGUGAAGGUCGGGACUCCCGUCCUCCGGGGCGGGAAGCACCGACGACCCGUCUCUUCCGACCCGUCGGUGGGGCGGAGUCAGAGCGCACACGUUGGGACCCGAAAGAUGGUGAACUAUGCCCGGGCAGAAUGAAGCCAGGGGAAACCCUGGUGGAGGUUCGCAGCGGUUCUGACG